AGUGAACGCUGGCGGUAGGCCUAACACAUGCAAGUCGAACGGCAGCACAGUAAUAGCUUGCUCUUACGGUUGGCGAGUGGCGGACGGUUGAGGAAUACAUCGGAAUCUACUUUUUCGUGGGGGAUAACGUAGGGAAACUUACGCUAAUACCGCAUACGACCUACGGGUGAAAGCAGGGGAUCUUCGGACCUUGCGCGAUUGAAUGAGCCGAUGUCGGAUUAGCUAGUUGGCGGGGUAAAGGCCCACCAAGGCGACGAUCCGUAGCUGGUCUGAGAGGAUGAUCAGCCACACUGGAACUGAGACACGGUCCAGACUCCUACGGGAGGCAGCAGUGGGGAAUAUUGGACAAUGGGCGCAAGCCUGAUCCAGCCAUACCGCGUGGGUGAAGAAGGCCUUCGGGUUGUAAAGCCCUUUUGUUGGGAAAGAAAAGCAGCAGGUUAAUACCCCGCUGUUCUGACGGUACCCAAAGAAUAAGCACCGGCUAACUUCGUG
rnacentral:rRNA from 1 species